rnacentral:rRNA from 1 species
AUGAACGCUAGCUACAGGCUUAACACAUGCAAGUCGAGGGCAGCAUGGUCUUAGCUUGCUAAGGCCGAUGGACGACCGGCGCACGGGUGAGUAACACGUAUCCAACCUGCCGUCUACUCUUGGACAGCCUUCUGAAAGGAAGAUUAAUACAAGAUGGCAUCAUGAGUCCGCAUGUUCACAUGAUUAAGGUAUUUCGGUUAUCGAUGGGAUGCGUUCCAUUAGUUGUUGGCGGGUAACGGCCACCAAGACUACGAUGGAUAGGGGUUCUGAGAGGAAGGUCCCCCACAUUGGAACUGAGACACGGUCCAAACUCCUACGGGAGGCAGCAGUGAGGAAUAUUGGUCAAUGGACGAGAGUCUGAACCAGCCAAGUAGCGUGAAGGAUGACUGCCCUAUGGGUUGUAAACUUCUUUUAUAUGGGAAUAAAGUAUUCCACGUGUGGGAUUUUGUAUGUACCAUAUGAAUAAGGAUAGGCUAACUCCGUG